AUUGAACGCUGGCGGCAUGCUUUACACAUGCAAGUCGAACGGUAACAGGGUGCUUGCACCGCUGACGAGUGGCGAAUGGGUGAGUAAUGCGUCGGAACGUGCCGAGUAGUGGGGGAUAACGCAGCGAAAGUUGUGCUAAUACCGCAUACGUACUGAGGUAGAAAGUGGGGGACCUUCGGGCCUCACGCUAUUCGAGCGGCCGACGUCUGAUUAGCUAGUAGGUGAGGUAAAGGCUCACCUAGGCGACGAUCAGUAGCGGGUCUGAGAGGAUGAUCCGCCACACUGGGACUGAGACACGGCCCAGACUCCUACGGGAGGCAGCAGUGGGGAAUUUUGGACAAUGGGCGAAAGCCUGAUCCAGCCAUGCCGCGUGUCUGAAGAAGGCCUUCGGGUUGUAAAGGACUUUUGUCAGGGAGGAAAUCCCUAGUGCUAAUAACACUGGGGGAUGACAGUACCUGAAGAAUAAGCACCGGCUAACUACGUGCCAGCAGCCGCCGUAAGAC
rnacentral:rRNA from 1 species